CAGAGUUGAAAAACUCCCAAACCCAUGUGUAUUUACCACUUGUUGCCUCGGCGUGUUACUGCUCUUCGUGUGUGGCAGCCGCCGGUGGACUUUUAAACUCUUGUUAUUUUGAGUCAUCUGAGCGUCUUAUGUAAAUAAGUCA
rnacentral:misc_RNA from 1 species